rnacentral:lncRNA from 1 species
AUGAGACCAUAAGGUUAAGGUUUUGAUAUAACAUCCACGAACCAAUGGAAUGACCAACAAGUGGCUUAAAACACAGGGGUUUGAUCGCUUAGAUGACCAAAGAUGUGUCCACAACUCAAUGAAUAGCACCAAAGACUUUGAACUAAGACCAAGACUCCAAGCUAGGUUAAGCAACUUGACAAUGAAUACACAAUCAAGCCACCA